rnacentral:rRNA from 1 species
UACGUAGGGUGCGAGCGUUGUCCGGAAUUAUUGGGCGUAAAGAGCUUGUAGGCGGUCUGUCGCGUCUGCCGUGAAAAUCCGAGGCUCAACCUCGGACUUGCGGUGGGUACGGGCAGACUAGAGUGUGGUAGGGGAGACUGGAAUUCCUGGUGUAGCGGUGAAAUGCGCAGAUAUCAGGAGGAACACCGAUGGCGAAGGCAGGUCUCUGGGCCACUACUGACGCUGAGAAGCGAAAGCUAGGGGAGCGAACAGG